rnacentral:rRNA from 1 species
UACAUCUGGUAGAGACUGUGUAGUCACCCGGUCCCAGCAGACCCCAGAGAACAACAUUCGCUGGUGCUGGAACAAGGUCAUCAGGGGUGAAGCCUGGUGCCAGGUGUGU